rnacentral:ncRNA from 2 species
GUACGAUAGCAAAAGCUCGGUUCUGGUGGGGAGCAGCCGCCAGACGUAAGGGGGAAAGAGCAGUGCAAGCCUGCCGCUGUCCCGCAACUGUGAUGAGAGAUUCAUCUCUUUAAGUCAGGAUGCCCGCCGAAUUGAAAAACCUGUG